AAGUAGCUUGCUAUUUGAACGCGAAAGUGGCGAACGGGUGCGUAACACGUAAAGAACCUACCCUUAUAUGGGGGGAUAGCCCUUCGAAAGAAGGAUUAAUACCGCAUGUGGUUCCCAAUCUCAUGAUUGGGACACUAAAGCCGGGGACCUUCGGGCCUGGCGUAUAAGGAGGGCUUUGCGGCCUAUCAGCUUGUUGGUGAGGUAACGGCUCACCAAGGCUAAGACGGGUGGCUGGUCUGAGAGGAUGAUCAGCCACACUGGAACUUAGACACGGUCCAGACACC
rnacentral:rRNA from 1 species